rnacentral:rRNA from 1 species
AUUAAACGCUGGCGGCAUGCCUUACACAUGCAAGUCGAACGGCAGCACGGGGGCAACCCUGGUGGCGAGUGGCGAACGGGUGAGUAAAGCAUCGGAACGUGCCCUGGAGUGGGGGAUAACGUAGCGAAAGUUACGCUAAUACCGCAUAUUCUGUGAGCAGGAAAGCAGGGGAUCGCAAGACCUUGCGCUCUGGGAGCGGCCGAUGUCGGAUUAGCUAGUUGGUGGGGUAAAGGCCUACCAAGGCGACGAUCCGUAGCGGGUCUGAGAGGAUGAUCCGCCACACUGGGACUGAGACACGGCCCAGACUCCUACGGGAGGCAGCAGUGGGGAAUUUUGGACAAUGGGGGCAACCCUGAUCCAGCCAUUCCGCGUGAGUGAAGAAGGCCU